rnacentral:lncRNA from 1 species
CAGAACCACAAGGAAGGAAAAAGAGAUUCUGUGGUGCGGUUGUGGGGAGAAGCUUGCUUACACUAACUGAUAUGAAGAGCUCCGUCUUAAUUGUGAAAAAAAAAAUUCUGAGCAGGCGAUUCUGCACUGGUUGCUGUCCUAAUGCCCAAUGCCAUCAUGAAUCUCAGCAUAUAGGUCAUUCAUUCAGUAACUCACUUACAGUGGAGGAAACACAGUGACCAACGAGCAAUGUGGGAAGGAAAUGGAAAUGCUUUUACUUCCACAGCAGUAUUCAUCAUCAAAGGAAGACAUCAGGACAGGAACUCAAAUGAGGCAGGAACUUAGAGGAAAGAGUUGAUGCAAGACCAGAGUGAUACUGCGUGCUGCCUUGCUCUCUCCAUGGCUUACUUGUGCUUCUUUUUUAUCAAAUGCAAGAUCACCAACCCAGAGAUGACACUAUCUAUAUUAGGCUGAGCAGUCCCACAUCAAAAUUAAGAAAAUGCCGUACA